rnacentral:rRNA from 1 species
AGCUCUAAUGGUGUAUGCUAACAUUGUUGCAGUUAAAAAGCUCCUAGUCGAAUAUGUUAGGGAAUCAUUUUUAUGUGAUCUUAUUCAACUACCAAGAAAUUCGAUUAUUCCUAUUAUUCGAAGAAUCAUUGAAAUAAUGUAAUUUUACUUUAGAAAAAAUAGAGUGUUUUAGACAAUCUUAUGGAUGUAUAUUAAAGCAUAGAAUGGUAGAUAAUGACAUCAGUUAAUGUCUGAUGGUUUGAGAGGUUGAUGUAAUGAUUUAUAGAGUUUGUCGAAGAUAUUAGUAUUUUG